AUUGAACGCUGGCGGCAUGCCUUACACAUGCAAGUCGAACGGUAACAGGUCUUCGGAUGCUGACGAGUGGCGAACGGGUGAGUAAUACAUCGGAACGUGCCCGAUCGUGGGGGAUAACGAAGCGAAAGCUUUGCUAAUACCGCAUAAGAUCUACGGAUGAAAGCAGGGGACCGCAAGGCCUUGCGCGAACGGAGCGGCCGAUGGCAGAUUAGGUAGCUGUUGGGAUAAACGCUUACCAAGCCGACGAUCUGUAGCUGGUCUGAGAGGACGACCAGCCACAGUGGGGCGUGGACACGGCCCAGACUCCUACGGGAGGCAGCAGUGGGGAAUUUUGGACAAGGGGCGAAAGCCUGAUCCAGCCAUGCCGCGUGCAGGAUGAAGGCCUUCGGGUUGUAAACUGCUUUUGUACGGAACGAAAAGACUCUUUCUAAUAAAGAGGGUCCAUGACGGUACCGUAAGAAUAAGCACCGGCUAACUACGUGCCAGCAGCCGCCGUAA
rnacentral:rRNA from 1 species